CAGCGCUGCACCCAACGCUCUAAAUGAAUGCCGGGUGCAGCAGGGAGAAAGUGGGGGUCCCUCCUUUGGAUAGGGGAUAAGAUGUCUUGGGGCUGAGUACCCCUUUAAGUGGAAAUCUUGGAAUGCAUAUGAACAAUGUCCUAACUACUGUCCAACACAAACCCUGGAGCACCAGAGGUGCACACUGCACAGCCCAAACCUGCCCAGGAACCACUCAAGUGCGGGGCUCCCUCAGGUUACAUGAAUAGUUACAGUAUAUACUGCAGAUCAGAUCCUUGCUUGCAAUUAUCCAGCACAGGCGGACCGCAACAAAGAGGAGGAGGGCAGUGCUUGACAUCUAUACAAGAGAGGAUUCAUGCACAAGCCCUGCUGGCAGAUGUCAACUGUGAGCUUCUGAGAUGCAAGACAAGAAGUGUUGUCAUAGGGGACACAAGCUUUUCUAACUAUAAUUGGACAUAAAUAAACUACCAA